CCUACGGGUGGCUGCAGUGGGGAAUAUUGGACAAUGGGCGAAAGCCUGAUCCAGCCAUGCCGCGUGUGUGUAGAAGGCCUUCGGGUUGUAAAGCACUUUCAGUGGGGAAGAAAGCCUUGGGGCUAAUACCCUCGAGGAAGGACAUCACCCACAGAAGAAGCACCGGCUAACUCCGUGCCAGCAGCCGCGGUAAUACGGAGGGUGCGAGCGUUAAUCGGAAUUACUGGGCGUAAAGCGCGCGUAGGCGGUCUGAUAAGCCGGUUGUGAAAGCCCCGGGCUCAACCUGGGAACGGCAUCCGGAACUGUCAGGCUAGAGUGCAGGAGAGGAAGGUAGAAUUCCCGGUGUAGCGGUGAAAUGCGUAGAGAUCGGGAGGAAUACCAGUGGCGAAGGCGGUCUUCUGGACUGACACUGACGCUGAGGUGCGAAAGCGUGGGUAGCAAACAGGAUUAGAUACCCGUGUAGUC
rnacentral:rRNA from 1 species